rnacentral:rRNA from 1 species
GUGCCAGCCGCCGCGGUAAUACGAAGGGUGCAAGCGUUACUCGGAAUUACUGGGCGUAAAGGGUGCGUAGGUGGUUUUUUAAGUCCGUUGUGAAAUCCCUGGGCUCAACCUGGGAAUGGCAGUGGAUACUGGAAAGCUAGAGUGCGGUAGAGGGUAGUGGAAUUCCCGGUGUAGCAGUGAAAUGCGUAGAGAUCGGGAGGAACACCAGUGGCGAAGGCGGCUACCUGGACCAGCACUGACACUGAGGCACGAAAGCGUGGGGAGCAAACAGGAUUAGAAACCCCUGUAGUCC